AGUCCCGGCUAGGGACACAGCUCUUAGACUUUGAGCUAGACAACCAGGAGGACAGGAGGACCUAGUAUCCUGCCUCCAUCAGCCCAUCAUUUAUGCAAAUGCUACUUAGUUGCCGUCUAGAUGCAGGAUGCUGUCUGCCCUGUUAAAUGCUGUGUGAACCCAGAUGGAAGCUGAGCAGACAUCACACUCGUGAGCAGCUCCCCUUCCUGUGAGCAUCUCCCCUUCCUGUUUCAGGCUGGCCUUGAACUUACAGGGAUUCACCUGCCUCUGCCUCCCAGAUGCUGAGAUUAAAGGCAUGUGCCAUCACCACCUGAACAACAGCAGCUUUCUAAGGAACCAGUAAGGCACUACAGACUUUUCAUAUAACAUCACCUUCAUUCUCUCACAACUAAUUCUACAAAACAGAUGUUAUACGACCUCGUUCGCUGAAGUCAAAGAUGCAGAGGGGCCAAGGUGUGGGCUCCGGACCUCACACCAGUGUGGCAGAUUCAACAAGCCCAGAAUAAGCCUCUUCCUUUGCUCACAAUAAGAUUAAGCCAACUGCCUCUUCAUUCCUCAGUCACACUCCUCCUCUGACCCUGCUCCAGGAGGCUCAUCUUGUCAGACUUCACACUGAAUGAGCGCUGAGGAUGCUGUAGAGUAUGAGCUGUGUGCAGGAUUGCUAUCUUCUGGUCCUGUACUCCUCAAGCUCAAAGGCCAACGUCCUGGCAUUUGUGUGACGGCUUUUGCCCUACCCUGCAGAAUUUGCAAUAGGCAGUCUCUACAUGUACUCAGGGCCCAGUGGGCAUUCAACAUGUUCAUUGAAUGACAA
rnacentral:lncRNA from 1 species